CCUACGGGAGGCAGCAGUGGGGAAUAUUGGACAAUGGGCGAAAGCCUGAUCCAGCAACGCCGCGUGAGGGAUGACGGCCUUCGGGUUGUAAGCCUCUUUCAGCAGGGACGAAGCGAAAGUGACGGUACCUGCAGAAGAAGGACCGGCCAACUACGUGCCAGCAGCCGCGGUAAUACGUAGGGUCCGAGCGUUGUCCGGAAUUAUUGGGCGUAAAGGGCUCGUAGGCGGUUUGUCGCGUCGGGAGUGAAAACUCAGGGCUCAACCCUGAGCGUGCUUCCGAUACGGGCAGACUAGAGGUAUUCAGGGGAGAACGGAAUUCCUGGUGUAGCGGUGGAAUGCGCAGAUAUCAGGAGGAACACCGGUGGCGAAGGCGGUUCUCUGGGAAUUACCUGACGCUGAGGAGCGAAAGCAUGGGGAGCGAACAGGAUUAGAUACCCUGGUAGUCCAUGCCGUAAACGUUGGGCGCUAGGUGUGGGGACUUUCCACGGUUUUCCGNGCCGCAGCUACGACAUAGUCGCCCGCCGUCGGGUAGGUACGGCCGGCGACGGACGUAAACUUAAACUAGUAAGUUAGUACGGCGUGAGACGUCGCCGACGGACGACGACGAGGGAGUAGG
rnacentral:rRNA from 1 species